AUGAAAACUGGUAAUAAGAUCAGGUACAACUCCAAAAGGAGGCACUGGAGAAGAACCAAGCUGGGUCUAUAAGGCGUCACACAUCAUGAGAUGACACACUUAAUUGGCACACAUUUAAUUAAGCUGCAUGAAGAUCAUGUGUUCUAUCAUUCUGUAAACAUCCUUCCUACCUGGCCAUAGACUUGUCUUAUCAUGGAAAUGAUUUUUCUCUCUUUACUAUGCCCCACAUCGG